rnacentral:rRNA from 1 species
UUCGGAUUGUAGGCUGCAACUCGCCUACAUGAAGUCGGAGUUGCUAGUAAUCGCGGAUCAGAAUGCCGCGGUGAAUGCGUUCCCGGGUCUUGUACACACCGCCCGUCACACCAUGGAAGUUGGGGGCGCCCGAAGUUGCCUAAGAAAUAAGGUACCUAAGGCGAAACCAAUGACUGGGGUGAAGUCGUAACAAGGUACC